UACAGAGGUCUCAAGCGUUGUUCGGAUUCAUUGGGCGUAAAGGGUGCGUAGGUGGCGCCGUAAGUCGGGUGUGAAAUUUCGGAGCUUAACUCCGAAACUGCAUUCGAUACUGCGGUGCUUGAGGACUGGAGAGGAGACUGGAAUUCAUGGUGUAGCAGUGAAAUGCGUAGAUAUCGAGAGGAACACCUGCGGCGAAGGCGGGUUGCUGGGCUGACACUGACGCUGAGGCGCGAAAGCCAGGGGAGCGAACGGG
rnacentral:rRNA from 1 species